CAGAGAAUGCAAAUUGAAACAAGUACACUUAAAAAUGCUUACCAUUCUCAGUACAUGCCCAUAUGGUCUUGUUUGUUAAUUCCUGCUCUCCAAGUUUCACUCGUGUUCAGAAAGCUUAUGAUGUAUCUAUUAAAUAUUGCACAGCCUAUCGUUAUUAACGGGGGUUAACUAUAGUUAUCAGCUUUGUUGAUAUUAUUAUACCACUGGGGUAAAAUUCAAUUUUGGGGUCAUC